rnacentral:tRNA from 1 species
GCGGGUAUAGUUUAGUGGUAAAACAUUAGCCUUCCAAGCUACUGAUGCGGGUUCGAUUCCCGCUACCCGCU